GAUGAACGCUCGCUACAGGCUUAACACAUGCAAGUCGAGGGGAAACGGCAUUAAGUGCUUGCACUUUUUGGACGUCGACCGGCGCACGGGUGAGUAACGCGUAUCCAACCUUCCCAUGACUAAGGGAUAACCUGCCGAAAGGCAGACUAAUACCUUAUGGUCUUCACUGACGGCAUCAGAUGUGAAGUAAAGAUUUAUCGGUUAUGGAUGGGGAUGCGUCUGAUUAGCUUGUUGGCGGGGUAACGGCCCACCAAGGCAACGAUCAGUAGGGGUUCUGAGAGGAAGGUCCCCCACAUUGGAACUGAGACACGGUCCAAACUCCUACGGGAGGCAGCAGUGAGGAAUAUUGGUCAAUGGGCGAGAGCCUGAACCAGCCAAGUAGCGUGCAGGAUGACGGCCCUAUGGGUGGUAAACUGCUUUUGUAUGGGGAUAAAGUCAAUCACGUGUGAUUGUUUGCAGGUACCAUACGAAUAAGGACCGGCUAAUUCCGUG
rnacentral:rRNA from 1 species